GCAAUUAAAUAGCAAGAAAAAUAGUAAAAUAGUCAAAGCUACAGAAGUAAAGCUAAAAUUGAAUCACAAGCUCAAGACAUACAAAUUAUUAAAUAUAAUUCAACAAUUGAAUUUGACAAUCAAAAUUAAGGCUCAGAUUAUUAGUUAAUAAAAGCUUUGCUAAAAGAAGAGCACAAGCAUUUGAACUCAACAAAUAGCCCUAUAGAUUCCAAAUUAGAAAAAUUACUCCUCUGUGACUCACUUAUUUCUCCAUUAGCAGCAAGAAUAAAACAAAACAUUUUUGAAUAACCUAACAGCUAAAAAGAAGCAAGAAAUACCUAUUACUCAAUUGAUGGUAGCAAGAUUUGUUUGAAUUUGUUGCUCCUACAAUAACAACAAAAAUUCAUUCAGAUACUCACCAAAUAAAUGAAAAAGCAUAAAUCAAAUAUUCUUUUUGAUGAAGAGAAGAAAAAUUAAAAGAAAUUAGUUUUUAGGUUAACUAUUUUUCUUUGCAGCAAGGGUCAAAGAUGUAGAAGUUAAAAAAUUUUAGACACAAAGACUAUCUCUCAGCAGUGAAGAAAAAUACUUUCCUAGAAUUUCUAGUUUUCAGAAAUAUAGGAAAAAGUCUUAAGAGUUUGAUAUUAUCAAGCCACCAAAAGAGAAACAAAAAACAAUCUUGUUACGCUACACUCAGUUUUCAUAAAAUAGGAUAAAAUUGGAAAAGACCUUUAAGUUAACAUAAGUUUUGAAACUUACCAGUGAAUUCAAUGCAGAGAAGAAGAAGUAUCUGGACAGCAAGUUGAGUGACAAUGUUGAACCGCUUAGAAUACUCUAAAAUCCAUCAAAUAGCCAACGUUUGAUUCAAAAUAAAGCUAAUUUAUUAGUUUUAGAUAUCAAUAGAAACACAAAUCAAGCAAUUCUUUUGUUUAAAGAACCUUCUCAAGAGAUCCAAAAAACACCAUCUAGAUUUAUUGUUGCAUUUGCAAUCAACCUAAAAACUAAUUAUCGCAAGUUUCAGACAGACAUUUAAUCAAACAUUUGAUAGCCAUGCCUAUGAGAUUUCACAUAUUCACUUGAAGGCAGUGUCAUACUAAAACCAUGUUUUGAGUUAAUGAAGCAAAUAUAACAUAAGCAAUCAUUAUAAGGGAUCAUAAAAUACCUGAGAUAAGUGAUAAGAAAGCAUCAAAACAGGAAGUAAUAAUACUUGAAGUAGAACUGAAUUUGUACGAGAAUUUCAAAAGAACAAACUAAGCUACCGUUGGACUAAUAAAUGAAAAAAAAACAAUGAACUUUGACAAUUAAAAGUAAAGCUCCAAUUUGUUUGUCAAUGCCAGGCGAAGAAGAAGAGCACAACCAUGGCUGCAAACUCAGUUGCAGUUCUGGAAUAAUAUAUACUCCAAAAUGCCAUCUGAGUUGCCUCGCCAAGAUACAGCUUAAAUCCAGUUAGUAUCAAGCCUGAAACACAACUCAUGGCAACAGCCGAAAAUGAGAACAAAAUAAAUUCACCUAUUUCUGAUCUUCAUCUGUUGUGGAAAUCCAACAAAAAAAUCAACACUAUAUUCCAACAAAAUUUAGAUUCAUUAAACCGUGGUAAGGAAAUAAAAAGAAGAAAAAACAAAUGUUCAAACCAAAAAGUUAAUAACAAAAAAUUGUACUUCCAUAUGAAAUUGCACAUAGCGAAUCAAGAGGGAAAAAAGUCAAAACCAGAGUGAACGAAGGUUAGAAUGAGUGAUUAGAGAAAGAGACGGGCAAAUACAGGUAAAAGGCAAGGGAAAAAAUUUUCCUAGAAAUCAGGAUAGAUUAGGUGCGAUUAAACGGUCAAGAUGAGAUGAAAGUACGCCUAUCAA
rnacentral:lncRNA from 1 species